rnacentral:rRNA from 1 species
UACGAAGGGGGCUAGCGUUGCUCGGAAUUACUGGGCGUAAAGGGCGCGUAGGCGGUUAUUUAAGUUGGGGGUGAAAUCCCGGGGCUCAACCUCGGAAUUGCCUUCAAAACUGGAUAUCUUGAGUUCGGGAGAGGUGAGUGGAACUCCGAGUGUAGAGGUGAAAUUCGUAGAUAUUCGGAAGAACACCAGUGGCGAAGGCGACUCACUGGCCCGAUACUGACGCUGAGGCGCGAAAGCUAGGGGAGCAAACGGG